GGCGCGCAAAUUACCCACUCCCAGCACGGGGAGGUAGUGACGAAAAAUAACGAUACGGGACUCAUCCGAGGCCCCGUAAUCGGAAUGAGUACACUUUAAAUCCUUUAGCAAGGAUCAAUUGGAGGGCAAGUCUGGUGCCAGCAGCCGCGGUAAUUCCAGCUCCAAUAGCGUAUAUUAAAGUUGUUGCGGUUAAAAAGCUCGUAGUCGAAUUUGUGUCUCAUGCCGCUGGUUCAUCGUUCGCGGUGUAAACUGGCGUGACAUGGGACGUCCUGCCGGUGGACUUAGCUCUUAACGGGGCGGUCCUAUUUAAUCCUGCCGCGUUGCUCUUAAUCGAGUGACGAGGUGGGCCGGCUCAUUUACUUUGAACAAAUUAAAGUGCUUAAAGCAGGCUAAAAUUUUGCCUGAAUAUGUGUGCAUGGAAUAAUGAAAGAGGACCUCGGUUCCAUUUUGUUGGUUUUAGGAACCCCGAGGUAAUGAUUAAUAGGAACGGAUGGGGGCAUUCGUAUUGCGACGUUAGAGGUGAAAUUCUUGGAUCGUCGCAAGACGAACAUAAGCGAAAGCAUUUGCCAAAAACGUUUUCAUUGAUCAAGAACGAAAGUUAGAGGUUCGAAGGCGAUCAGAUACCGCCCUAGUUCUAACCAUAAACGAUGCCAGCCAGCGAUCCGCCGAUGUUCCUCCGAUGACUCGGCGGGCAGCUUCCGGGAAACCAAAGCUUUUGGGUUCCGGGGGAAGUAUGGUUGCAAAGCUGAAACUUAAAGGAAUUGACGGAAGGGCACCACCAGGAGUGGAGCCUGCGGCUUAAUUUGACUCAACACGGGAAACCUCACCAGGCCCAGACACUGGAAGGAUUGACAGAUUGAGAGCUCUUUCUUGAUUCAGUGGGUGGUGGUGCAUGGCCGUUCUUAGUUGGUGGAGCGAUUUGUCUGGU
rnacentral:rRNA from 1 species